GUCCAGCCCUGGUUCGUGUACAAAUGCAUGGCGGGGAGACCAGAAAGUUUUCGAAACUGCGUGAGUGGAAGUCCGCGUUGGACAAAUUUUGAAAAUAUCUGAACAUACGUGUCCUGUUGAACUUGAAAAAGACGAAAUUAUUUUUAAAAAGAUCAUGGUAACUCGUGAAGCAACAUCUCAGAAUUGAAUCGGCGAGUUGUGUAUUUGCUGACAAUCCGAGCCUGCUCCGUUUAGAUUUGCAUAAUAGGAAUCAAAAAUUUUCGAAACUGCCAUCGCGGAAGGCCUGGUUGAAUGAACAUUGUAUUCGUCGAACCUCUAAAGGUUAACGAUUUGGAUCAUUUUGGAAGAUACAUACGCCGCGCUUUUCAAAACGGACUGACGUGCCCUUGUCCAACUUGAUAAAGGCGGAAUUAUUUUAGGAAAGACCAUGGCAACUAGUAAAGCAGAACCCGAGAAUUCAAUCGGCGGCUGUAUGUUGACUGACAAGAAUAUAAUUGCUGUUAAUCCGGCCCUGCUUCGUGUACAAAUGCAUAGCGGGGAGACAUGAACAUUUUUCGAAAUUGCGGACCUAUCCUGUUGGGAUUCUACGUUGGACAAAUUCUGAAAACGACCCCAGAAAUAUAAUUGGUGAGAAAAUAGUUUUUUUUUGUGUUAACCGUUAACAAUUUUUUAUUUUGGAAACAAGUUUCAGU